UACGGGGGGGGGCAAGCGUUGUUCGGAAUUACUGGGCGUAAAGGGCCAGUAGGCGGCCAACUAAGUCCGACGUGAAAUCCCCAGGCUUAACCUUGGAACUGCGUCGGAUACUGGAUGGCUUGAAUUCGGGAGAGGGAUGCAGAAUUCCAGGUGUAGCGGUGAAAUGCGUAGAUAUCUGGAGGAAUACCGGUGGCGAAGGCGGCAUCCUGGACCGACAUUGACGCUGAGGAGCGAAAGCUAGGGGAGCAAACGGG
rnacentral:rRNA from 1 species